rnacentral:rRNA from 1 species
GACGAACGCUGGCGGCGUGCUUAACACAUGCAAGUCGAGCGGUAAGGCUCCUUCGGGAGUACACGAGCGGCGAACGGGUGAGUAACACGUGAGCAACCUGCCCUUCUCAUCGGAAUAAGCGUUGGAAACGACGUCUAAUGCCGAAUAUGACAACGGAUCGCAUGAUCUGUUGUGGAAAGCUCCGGCGGAGAAGGAUGGGCUCGGGGCCUAUCAGCUUGUUGGUGGGGUAACGGCCCACCAAGGCGACGACGGGUAGCCGGCCUGAGAGGGUGACCGGCCACACUGGGACUGAGACACUGCCCGGACUCCUACGGGAGGCAGCAGUGGGGAAUAUUGGACAAUGGGCGCAAGCCUGAUCCAGCAACGCCGCGUGAGGGAUGACGGCCUUCGGGUUGUAAACCUCUUUCAGCAGGGACGAAGCGAAAGUGACGGUACCUGCAGAAGAAGGACCGGCCAACUACGUGCCAGCCGCCGCCGUAAGAC